rnacentral:rRNA from 1 species
AUUGAACGCUGGCGGCAGGCCUAACACAUGCAAGUCGAACGAGUGGCGGACGGGUGGGUAAUGUCUGGGCCAGUGCCCGAUGGAUGGGGAUAACUACUGGAAACGGUAGCUAAUAACGCAUACAAUAGGAUGUGCCCAGAUGGGAUUAGCUAGUAGGUGGGGUAACGGCUUACCUAGGCGACGAUCCCUAGCUGGUCGGAGAGGAUGACCAGCCACACUGGAACUGAGACACGGUCCAGACUCCUACGGGAGGCAGCAGUGGGGAAUUUUGGACAAUGGGGGAAACCCUGAUCCAGCCAUCCCGCGUGUGUGAUGAAGGCCUUCGGGUUGUAAAGCACUUUUAGCAGGAAAGCGGUACCAGCAGAAUAAGCACCGGCUAACUACGUGCCAGCAGCCGCGGUAAUAC